rnacentral:lncRNA from 1 species
UUGGGCCCAUCCAAGAAACUAGAGAAGCUCAUUUUGUUCAACCCAGCAAAGCCCAAGUGAUUCAACCUCAGGCCCAAUUCCAUUGCAAGCUUAAGGCCCACUUGAAUUCAAGCCCAACUCAGCCUUUCCAAGCCCACGUUAAUUGAAGCCCGCGAAGCAACUCAAGCCUAGUCCAAUUUCAAAAGCAAAUCUCAGAUUUGGGCUGAGAUUUGUUGGGC